GGCCGGGCCACGGCCGCGAACGCUGCGACUACGGUCUGCAGCGCAUCCACCGCCUGUCCUGCCGCUACGACUGCCCUGCAGACUUCUGUUGCAACUUGAACCACGGCUUUGUUCUGUUUGAUUGGAGGUGAGAGAGUUGACAGCUGGCAGUCUCCCGAGAGUCCCAGGAAGCAAUUGUCCAGAGAGCCCAGCAAGAUGUGAGCUGGGCACAGGAUCAGCCAAGGUAGAAGCUGUUGGAGUUUGAACACACCAAGAAGAGGCUGGAGGAGUCAGAACAGCAGAAGAAGGGGCUGCAAGUGCACCUGCAGAACCUGGAGAGGGAACGGAGUCAAUGGGAAGAAGUGGCUCAGCAAAAUUCAGAAUUGCAGGCUUCCGUGAAUGUCCUAGAGAGGGAAAAAGCCAGGCUGAUCUGUCUCUGGAGGAAAAGAACCCGUGCCUCAGAAAACACUGGAAAAAAAGAACCUGGCACUGAACAAUCAGGUGUCUCAUUUUCAUUCUGCUCUUCAGGAGACUGAGCAGCUCCGUUCUGAGCAUAGAAGAGAACUAGAGGAGCUCAACACCCAGAUUGGUGGAAUGCAGAACUCAAGUACACCUCUCGAGAAAUUGCCCUGCAGAAAGAGGCUGCUGAAAGGCA